UAUAUAAAUAAUAUUAUUAUAUUAUACAGUAUUAUUAUAUUGUAUUAUUAUUAUUAGCCACCCUGAGUCCCCUAUUGGGUGAGAAGGGCGGGGUAGAAAUACUGUUAUAAAUAAGUAAAUAUUAUAUUGUAUUACAUUAUAAUAUUAUUAUCAAUAUUUUAUGUAUACACAAUAUAUUAUACUAGCUGUGCCCGGCCAUGCGUUGCUGUGGCAAAGUGGUGGUGGUAUUGGUUAAAAAUUGUUGUGUAAUUUUUAUUUGACGUUAUUUGUAUGUUUUUUUAUUAAUUUUAUUGUAAGUUAUCUUUUUAUUUAUUAUAUUUUAUUAUUUUCUUGUAUUAUUUUUAGUUAUUUUCUGUUAUAGUAUUUUAUUGUAUUAAUUAUUUAGUGUUUUUAAUUAUUUUUUAGUGUUUUUAUUAUUUUUUAUUGGGUUGCUAGGAGACCAAGUUGGAGGAGCUUAGCCUUCUAACUGGCAGCAAUUGGAUAAAAACAAUUAUUCCUCUCCCUCUAAUUAGGACUUUAUUUUUCUUUUCUUUUUGUUGUAUCAACCUAGAGCCAUGGAAAUGGUUGUGUUGUCAAAUUUCGAGGUUGGGGGGCCUGUAGUUUUGUUGUUUUGUGGGUCGCCGUGAUGCCAUCACUCAUUUAUAUAUAUAUAUUACAGUAUUACCAUAUCAUUCAUUUACAAUAUUUCAUUUACAAUAUUAGUAAAUGAAAGAACAAUACAAUAUUUAAAAGUAUUUAUUGCACCAUUACAACCUAACCACUUAGCAGUGUUUGCCUUUGCUCCUGUGACUGCAGCCUCUGCUUUAGUGCUUAGAAAUCCAAAGUUCUACAAUGAUUGAAGGGAACCUUUUCCACAUGCCAUACUUAAAAAAAAUUCUGUCAAGCUCAGUUAGCUUGCCACAUAACAAUGGGUCUCUAGAGAAAGGAAAUUAAAAAUAACAACAUGGUUGUAUUUGGAUUACAGACUAACUGGAGAAAAAGCCAAUCUAACGCUUCCCUAUGAGGUUAUCAAACCACUAGUGGCAUUUAGUAUAGAGAAACAAUUCUAAAUGGCAACCAAACUGUUAGAUGACCCUUUAUCAUUGCUCAUUUUUUUCUCUCUCUCCACCCCACAUGUGGGCUCUUGUUAAUUUUCUUGGAACUGGAGGGGGAGAAUAUAAUGUGGUGUAGUGGUUUGAGUGUUGACAGAUAUGCUGGGAAACCAGAAUUCGAAUCCUGAUCAAUGUGUGUUGAUGUGGUUUGUAAAGACACCAUUAUGGAUGGGUUAACUGGAAAAGUAGGUGUAAGAAGUUGAUUGGCUGAGCCUGCGAGCAGCUAGGAAUCUGAUUGGUCAAUUUCUCUGCCAUGCCACUGAGGAACCAGUUUGAGCAGGUUGCUGACUGGAAACAGCCAGGAGAGAGGAUGGCUGCCGGCUCUUAGAGGCCCUAUUAUUUCUAAGGCACUGAGGCAAUUUUAUGGACUUUAAAAGGACUACAGUGUUCCCUCGCUUAUCGUGGGGGUUAGAUACCAUGACCACCCGCGAAAAGUGAAAAUCUGCGAAGUAGGGAUGCUAUAUUUGUGUGUUUACAAUCUCACUGAUAAGUAGCAUGUCUAUCCCCUC
rnacentral:lncRNA from 1 species